AGCGAACGCUGGCGGUAGGCCUAACACAUGCAAGUCGAACGGCAGCACAGUAAGUGCUUGCUCUCACGGGCGGAGAGCGGCGGACGGGUGAGGAAUACAUCGGAAUCUACUUUUUAGUGGGGGCUAACGUAGGGAAAAUUACGCUAAUACCGCAUACGACCUACGGGUGAAAGCAGGGGAUCUUCGGACCUUGCGCGAUUGAAUGAGCCGAUAUCGGAUUAGCUAGUUGGCGGGGUAAAGGCCCACCAAGGCGACGAUCCGUAGCUGGUCUGACAGGGUGAUCAGCUACACUGUAACUGAGACUCAUCCCAGACACCUACGGUAGGCCACGGUGCGGAAUAUUGGGCGAUGGACGCGAGCCUGAUCCAGCCAUACCGCGUGGGUGAAGAAGGCCUUCGGGUUGGUAAGCGCUUUUGUUGGUAAAGAUGAGCAGCAGUUUAAACACCCGCGGUACUGACGGUACCCAAAGAAUAAGCACCGGCUAACUUCGUG
rnacentral:rRNA from 1 species